AUGACAAGGUGCAUUCAGAAACUGCAUACCUUUGAUUUGGGAUUGUCAGGCACCAGUUCAGAGCUGAGUUGAACUGAUCUUGAGAAGAUGCAUCUAUUGCUGGGCUCUGCCGUGAUGCUCCUGCCUGUCAAAACUGCACUUCGUCCUUGCUCACAUCAAAGCUGAAAAGCAUAAUUACAAAGAUGGGUAAAUAGAUGAAUUAUGGAUGUUUUAACCAAAUAAUCACACUUAAUUACUUUAGUUACAAGGAGUUGUUUUGAAAGUACCUUCUGAAAAAUUUAAGGCAUUGUGCAAAUGGUAGAAAAUACCAUAUUCUAAGCUAUCACUGUUGCAGUACAUGAAAAAAAAUCUCCUGAAACUGUGUUUCCUUCUCCUAAGAAAUCAUUCGGUGGCUUCCCAAUACCUACAUGUCAAUGCAAUACCAUUGGUGACAAUGUGGUUUUUCUUAGUUCAUACUGCUGCGACAGCUACAGCCUUCUAAAAAAAAAAAAAAAACCUGAGAUAAACAUCCAAGAGUAUCUUCCUCCCCAUUUUCAGAUUGGUAAAUUUGGCUCCUUUCAGUUCAAGAUGGGAAGUCAGUCCCAACUUUUUAAUGCAUGAGCUGUAUCAGCCAGCUGCCACAUGGCUAUCCCAGAAUUAUUGACUAGGGGUACUACUGUCUAUGGGUUUAAAAAUCAAAACCCAUUCGCUGAGUCAGAUUCUCUGGCUCAUGGAAUCCAUGCUGCAAUGCUUCAGGGACACAAGGCAGCUUAUGAAAAAAUAAAUCCAGCUUACGUGACCUGCGCAGAACUCCUGGGUGGUCACAAAACCAGCUACCACAGUCAUACCAGAGGCAAGAAACAAAGGAAUCAAUCUCCAGUCACUGCCGCACGAGGAAAAGUCCAAGGUGCUGGAGCUCUGUGGCCUCAAAGUGAAGAAGCAGACCCCCACCUAUCAGGUGCUGCACACUGCUGUCCAGAAACCCUAAAAGCUCACUGACUGACUGAAGGGGAAUCUUAUCAUGACAGAGACAUGCAUACUUUCUUGGGGCUUUCUUUUCAUCUUCAUUCAGGCAUGUCAAGUGCCACAGGAUGCAUAUAAAUGUAAUUCUGCAUGUUCUCUGCUCCAGAAGUAGCCUUCUGCUGCAUAGCAGGCUUACACUGGAGGCUUGGAAAUGGAGGUAGGGUUCUGCAUAAAACAAGGGGCUGCUUUUCAGAAUAAGAGAGAAAAUUGAGCUAAACUUUCAAAUGUUACCUGGUCUUUGAAAAGCCACCAAUUGAAAACCUCCUGGGAAGCACCAAAUUUUGGUGAAGCUGUGCAAGAACGGAGCUCAGAGUCACCCUUCUUCCCUCCUUGUCCAGCUUCUAAGUCAAUGCCAGCUGGGAGUUGAAUAUCACCAGUUACUCAGGUGAAACACUCUGGUUACAGGAUAAAACUGCUCACUGGAGGACACUCAACAUAGAUGCAAGCAUGGGAACUCUAUUGGAGAGAUCGCAACACGAGUGUUCAAAACAAAAAGUGCCACUGGUUCCUCACUCUACAGAAGCUUCAUGUGUUAUUUCCCGGGGAGAGGUCAUGCCAUGUCUGGCUUUUCUGUGUGUGCACCAGGACAAACUGUGAGCAGGGACUGAGGGGUGCUGGGGGUGCUGCAGAGCCAAGAAAAACUGUGCCAAGGAUCCCAAGCCCAUGGGCACAUUGUGGGGCAGCUCUCUCGAAUAAGCCAGAUGUUCUCUCCAGUUUGCAAAGGGAGCAGUUUUGUGACUUAGGAAGAAAUACUUCCAUUUGAGUUCCUGCUUUGACAGUGCUCAUUGCUCUGAGCUGUGUAUAAGUGGCAAUACAAGUUGCUCCUUGCAAAACAUGCCCUGUGCCUGGCCACUUUUUUUUUUUUUUUUUUUUUUUAACCUACGAGAGGUUUGGCACUUGACAUUUUUUGGCAAUAACAUUGUAAAACUCUUUCCAAAGAAAUUUUCAGUGUGCCUUGCUGGGACUUUCUAAAAUAUAUAGAUUAAUUGUGAUAAUUAAAUUUCCCUCUGAAUGAUUUCUUUGAUAAAUGGGUCUAGUUAGGACUUUCAAUUAAGCACCAAGCUCUGCUGUGAAGUCAGACUGAGCUUCAUGGUGCAGGCAUUUAUUGCCUCAUUUACACAGAGACAAUCUGAAUUAUUUUACAUUACACUGUUUUCUUUAUCUGUCUUUUUUACAAAAGUAUUGGAAUUCCUAUUAACCCUUCUAUCAAGGAGCCAAUUAAAAAGGUAUGGUCAAGCAACUUUUAAUUAUUUUGUUAUGGUUUAAAUAAGUUUCCUGGAAGCAGAGGGCUUAAAAUCUUUCUCUUGUCCAUACUGCAACACAUAAACCUAUGAUGGUUUGUUACUACGCAGAUUCUCACACUCUCCAAGAGAUUAAAAAAAUAUGAAAAUAAUAUAAAGUGGGAAAGAAUAGGCAACUACCACAAUGUUUUGAUGAAUGGUGAUAAUAUGUAACGAUUCUUGGUGAUAAUAUGUAACAACAGAAGCUUUUAUGCUUUUGCAUUGUCCAAAAUUCUGUGUAAAUGGUAAUCAUAGUUUGGAGAAUUUCAGUUAUCAGCUGUGCACUACACCUUUAAGGUUGCUGUGUUUUAAGUUACAUCCAUGCACUCAAG
rnacentral:lncRNA from 1 species